rnacentral:rRNA from 1 species
ACUCCUACGGGAGGCAGCAGCAGGGAAUAUUGCACAAUGGGCGAAAGCCUGAUGCAGCGACACCGCGUGCGGGAUGAAGGCCUUCGGGUUGUAAACCGCUUUCAGGAGUGACGAAAAUGACGGUAGCUCCAGAAGAAGGCCCGGCCAACUACGUGCCAGCAGCCGCGGUAAUACGUAGGGGCCAAACGUUGUCCGGAUUUAUUGGGCGUAAAGGGCUCGUAGGCGGUUCAACAAGUCGAUCGUGAAAACCCGGGGCUCAACUCCGGGACGCCGGUCGAAACUGUUGUGACUAGAGUUCGGUAGAGGUGAGUGGAAUUCUCGGUGUAGCGGUGGAAUGCGCAGAUAUCGAGAGGAACACCAGUAGCGAAGGCGGCUCACUGGGCCGAAACUGACGCUAAGGAGCGAAAGCAUGGGGAGCAAACAGGAUUAGAUACCCUGGUAGUCCAUGCCGUAAACGAUGAACACUAGGUGUGGCGGAUUCAUUGACAUCUGCCGUGCCGUAGCUAACGCAUUAAGUGUUCCGCCUGGGGAGUACGGCCGCAAGGCUAAAACUCAAAGGAAUUGACGGGGCCCCGCACAAGCGGCGGAGCAUGCGGCUUAAUUCGAUGCAACCCGAAGAACCUUACCUGGACUUGACAUCAUGGGUCUACCUGUAGAAAUAUAGGGUGCUUAUGCGCCCAUGACAGGUGGUGCAUGGCUGUCGUCAGCUCGUGUCGUGAGAUGUUGGGUUAAGUCCCGCAACGAGCGCAACCCCUGUCCUAUGUUGCCAGCACGUAAUGGUGGGGACUCAUGGGAGACUGCCGGGGAUAACUCGGAGGAAGGCGGGGAUGACGUCAAGUCAUCAUGCCCCUUAUGUCCAGGGCUGCACGCAUG